rnacentral:piRNA from 1 species
UGGCAAGGAAUUCCUCAGCAGUGCCCA